rnacentral:rRNA from 1 species
UCGAGAAUCUUCGGCAAUGGGCGAAAGCCUGACCGAGCGACGCCGCGUGCGGGAUGAAGGCCCUUGGGUUGUAAACCGCUGUCAGAGGGGAUGAAGUGCCAGAGAGUUCUCUCUUUGGUUUGACAUAGCCUCAGAGGAAGCACGGGCUAAGUUCGUGCCAGCAGCCGCGGUAAUACGAACUGUGCAAACGUUAUUCGGAAUCACUGGGCUUAAAGGGUGCGUAGGCGGCUGUCUAAGCAGGGUGUGAAAGCCCCCGGCUCAACCGGGGAAUUGCGUUCUGAACUGGACGGCUGGAGUGGGAUAGGGGUGUGUGGAACUUCCGGUGGAGCGGUGAAAUGUGUUGAUAUCGGAAGGAACGCCGGUGGCGAAAGCGACACACUGGGUCUCAACUGACGCUGAGGCACGAAAGCCAGGGGAGCGAACGG